GGCCUUGUACACACCGCCCGUCACACCAUGGGAGUGGGUUGCAAAAGAAGUAGGUAGCUUAACCUUCGGGAGGGCGCUUACCACUUUGUGAUUCAUGACUGGGGUGAAGUCGUAACAAGGUAACCGUAGGGGAACCUGCGGUUGGAUCACCUCCUUACCUUAAAGAA
rnacentral:rRNA from 2 species